rnacentral:rRNA from 1 species
AUUGAACGCUGGCGGAAUGCUUUACACAUGCAAGUCGAACGGUAGAGGGGGCAACCCCUUGAGAGUGGCGAACGGGUGAGUAAUAUAUCGGAACGUGCCCAGUCGUGGGGGAUAACGUAGCGAAAGUUACGCUAAUACCGCAUACGAUCUAAGGAUGAAAGCGGGGGAUCGCAAGACCUCGCGCGAUUGGAGCGGCCGAUAUCAGAUUAGGUAGUUGGUGGGGGUAAAGGCUCACCAAGCCAACGAUCUGUAGCUGGUCUGAGAGGACGACCAGCCACACUGGAACUGAGACACGGUCCAGACUCCUACGGGAGGCAGCAGUGGGGAAUUUUGGACAAUGGACGCAAGUCUGAUCCAGCCAUUCCGCGUGCAGGAUGAAGGCCCUCGGGUUGUAAACUGCUUUGUACGGAACGAAAAGGUCUCUCUUAAUACGGGGGGCUCAUGACGGUACCGUAAGAAUAAGCACCGGCUAACUACGUG